CUUAAGGGCAUUUGUGUCCUGGUGGAUACAAAGCUCGGACACACAUGUGCAGUCAGCAUGAAACGUUUUAGCCAGGACUAAUUAAGCAUUUCUAAUUAAAAUUGUGUAGAUAGAGAGGAAGUUAACGGCUUUGUAUGAACUAUUUGUUUUAUUGUCGUGUGUACUGUAUACUGUAUGUCAUUGCAAAUAGAUCUUCAGAAGUAUUGGGUACCCGGUUGGAUCCCUGUUGGAUCAAUUCAUUCAGAGCUUUCACUGGUCAAGCUUUAAAGGAAAACAGAAGCAAUAAAUGGAAGACCCUGACCUGGAUGAUCCCCAGAUACAGCAUGGAUUGCACACAAUAAAGGUGCAGCUCCAGUUAAGCUUUCUAAAUAAACGUAGUGAGGUCUGGAAACACUGGUAACGCCGCCCCCACACAGUGCACCCAGACAUCCGAGUGGAGCAGGCCGUGCUGCUCCAUAUGGCUUUCCCUGGUGGACCCUGAGUGUCCUUAUGUUACCUGCACUUGUUUCUUGGAGGAAAAAGUUUGUACUCCAAAAAUGAGUAAACAAAGCGCUUUCAUGAAUGCUGCCAAAAUGGCAGUGUCUGAAAGCUUGCUGGGGCUACAGCCACACCCGAGCUUGCUUCACGCUCACAGGCAGAUGCCCCUCUGUGCAUCCCGCUCACGCCUUGCCGUGUCCAGCUCCCCUGCUGCAGCUGGCACACGAGCGGUUUCUUCCACACUGGGGCGAUGCGGAGGUCUGUGAGAUCCAGCACCCAGGCGUUGAUGGCGAUGGCUCCCCAGGGGGAGUGAGGAUUGCCGUGGUCCUGGAGGGACUCCUUCCCCUCGGGCCCGCCUCAUUGUGCACGGCACCGGCCUCAGCAGUUUUCUGAUUCCUCACUGUGCACUUUCUUGGCACAUCUUUUAUCAUCCACAGUCUUCUCGGUCUGAAACAGCUGUAGGGAGCUCAGCCACACCGCCGAGCCCAGUGCAGAGCCGCUGCUUCCAGAAGAGCCUGCCCCGCUGCAGCGGCCUGUGUGUGCCCUCCCUAAAGUCACUGCGCAGUGGUUCUGGUAAAAGUUUCCGGCAGCUUAGCAAGAAAACGGAUCCAAAGAUUGACUUAGUGCCACGUGCUUACCCACUGCCUCUUUCACUCUGAGGAAGGUGAUACUGUCCUCACUGACCCCCAUGCCAGGUGUGGGCACAUGGAGUUGGGAGGGCUUGAGUGGCUGGACUCCAGGUGCAUAAAUACUAGGAGAAGGAGGCAGGAAUCUGGCUCUGCUCAAUCUGACUUACACUCCGACCCUCUUUUGAGUAUAUUGUAUGGUCAGAAUUAAAGGUGCAUCUGUAUGUGUGUGAGAGAGAGACGGGCAGACAGAGGCAGAAUGAUGAGAGAGACAGAGAAUUUCUCCAGCUUCUGUUGGUUGGAAAGGUUUUCUGGACAUUUUGUAACUACAUCUGCCUGUCUUGAUAGUUUGUGGAAUUUAACAUGAAGUGUAUUCUCUCUGGAAUGUGUGAGUCAUCAGUCUUCACAGGUGUCUGUUUAUGGGGUGGAUUGGUUGUGGUAGUCAUGCGGGGUUCACAUGGUGUCCUAGCCAGGGAGGAAUGGGCUUCCCGGGAUCCUGACCCCUGCAAGGCCCCAGGCCAGCAUCAGGCCCCGGGGCAUCCGCAGCAGGUGUCGGGGUGGAAGCCAAAGCAGCAGCCAUGGCUGGUGCAGGCGUCAGGACUCCUUCCUGGUCUUCCAUCCUAAUGCUGUGGGGUGGGUCAGAAGCUGGCUGUCAGUUCCUUGACUUCCUGGCAGGGACCUCCUUUGACUUCUCUGAACCCUGGGUGUGUGUGCUCAGCUAUGAGCUGAAGGACACCAGUACCUCCUGCAGGGCACCCCCACUUCGCCAGAGCUGGAGGCUUGCGGGUAUUGAGAGACGAUGGGCUCCAUCCAUCCUCAGCGCCCCUGGUCUGAGCCAUCUGCCUGUGCCCCUCCCCUCUCCAGGCUUCAGCACCAGGGACAGAGGCUUGUCUUCCACAGACAGCUCUCCAGCCCCACCCCACUCCCUGCCAAGGCAGACGGCCACGUCUAGACAGUGACUCUCCCACGGUGGGAGGAGACAAAGAGACAGAGACACAGGCAACAAGAGACGGAGAGAGAGAAUCUGAGAGACAGAAAAUGAGACGGGGAGAAACAGACAGUGACAGAGAUGAAGAGAAACAGAUUGAGACAGAGACAGGGACAGGCAGACGUCCCUGUGACGCACUUCUCAGAGUGCCCCUGGGGUGGUGUGGACUCAGUGCCUGUCCUCUGCAUGCCCUGCCCUCCCUCACCCCGCCGCCUGGGGCAGGGGUGGGCUUUGCGCCAUCCGUGUCUCGUCCACGCGGGUAGCUGAGUGUUUUCCUUGAUUACCCCUGCUGGCUUACUCCACUCUUGGUGCUGAGUCUCUUACGUCUUUUCUGUUCUCCCUGACUUCUCGAGCGUGAUUUGAUUUGAUUUGCCUCCAUUUUCCUGACGUUCACAUUCACUGCAUUUGCCCUGCUGUGUCUUACAGAGUGACUGCCCCCUGCAUUGUUUCUUUCAAAGUAACUUUUGCUCUCAAAGUGUUAUUGUUUAUCUCUUUCAUUUCUUCACUAAGCACUCUCAGCUUUUUUUUCUACAUCUUUGUUUUUUCCUAUCUUAUUUGGACUACUUGGAAAAUUAGAAUUCUAAUUUUUGAUAGCUUUUAGAUCUUUCACAUGUCGUUUUGUAAUAUCUUGCAUUACAGUGCUCUUUGCCGGAUGCUUUUAUGGUGUGAUGGCUGCCCUCCCUGCUGUCUCCAGGCCUCCUGUUUCUUGUGCAGAAGCAGCUCGCCUGGCGUCUAGAGCGUGUGGUGUCGUGGUGCAGGGAGAGGCGGGACGGUGCAGUGCGGCAUCCAGCAUUGUGGACUUGCUCCGCAGUCUCAGAUCAGAGCCCCACAAUCUGCUCCCUGAUGUGUAGAUGCUGUGGCCUUCUCUCGAGUGAGACCUGCUUUGUCAAAGGCCCUUCUCGGUGGUACCCACACACUCUUAGCCAUCACCUCACCACAUGGCCUUCCUAGUCCUGCCAUGGGGCUCUGGCUUUGGGGAGGGUUGAGCUCAGGCAGGGACUGGCAGUUCCCGCACAGUGUCUCCUCCUCUCUGCAGGAUGCGUCCCCAUUGGAUGCCUGAAACUACAGGCAGUGCCAAGCUCUGUGCGUCCUCUGCUGCUCCCGAUAGACCCAUGCCCAUGGUGUCGUAAUCUGUUACUCAGGCAUAGGAAGACGACUGCAAUGACUUACAGUAAAACAGGCCCAUGUGACAAUGUGCUGUAGUGAGAAUCUGCUCCUCGGGCUGUCACGGAGUUAACCAAGGGUUGUUUGAACACGAGCACUGUGAUAGCCAAGGACUGCUGACUGACUGCUGGGCAGGUGAUGUCCACAGAGGGGUGGGUGCUCCCCACGGAGGGAAGUCACACACAGCAGGCAGCCAGAGUGGUGCGGCACAAGGUUUCAUGACGCUGCUCACGAGGCAUUUGGUUUAGCGUUAGGAACUUCUUAGAUUUUUGGAGUGUUCCAUCGGAUAUGUCCAGGCUAUGGUUGGCUGCAGGUAACCAAACCAAGGAAAGUGGAGCCGUCAGCAAGGGGGUGUACAGCACCUUUAUGUUCUAAGAAAGAGCUUUCUCUUCCUGUGCAGGAGGUGAAAGACACGGCUGGGACAACUCCGAGUCAUUGCUCUGAGAAUUUACACACGUAGUCGUGUCUUCACUUGUGUGGUUUCACAUCUGAAUGAUUUUAGCCUUUUCCUCACAGUGAUUCAACAUGAUUUCGAUUUUCUAGUUUAUGAAAAUCUCAUCUAUGUUUCAUGGUUUUCUUUUUUUAAUUUUUCUUUAUUGCUGUCAUCUGGUUUGAAAGAGAAUAGCAGGAGACUGUCUUCACUUAGAAUUUUGCCUAGGCUUGACAUUAUAUUUAGCCAUGAAGCAUAAAUAAAUCAUAUGGCCAUCAGUCUCUGCUCCAUUAGACCCAUUUAGGACCCAGAGUGGAAAAAGAGGAACUUCAAACUAUCAAGACAUGAGGCUCUUAACACACAGCCUGCAGUGCACCUGCCGGGAAGCUGCCUGUCAGAGACGGCCUCCCUUGUCUUCCUAAGUGUUGAGCAGAAUCCUGUCUUCAUCCAACCCAACCCCCUGUCCAUCACAGCGUGGUUGCUGGGCGUUGUAGUCAACACACAGCUCUUUUGCUGUCUUUGUCCCCUGGAGGAGCCACAGACCCACAUUUUGUCCAGUUGGGAAAUGGGGCCCGACCUGCUCACCAGCGUCUUUGGAGAGGACCGAUGCUGUGCCCAGUGUGGAUCUCUUGGUUCUGUGCUGUCUGCUCCUCCUUUUCCUCUCCAGCUUUCUGACCGAGGCUCCUGGCAGGUCCUGCUUCCACACCUAAGCUACCCUAUCCCGAUGGCAACAGGAAACACCACUGUCACGGCUGUCGUCUCAGUUAGAUGAUGGAAACCAGGAUGAGAGAGAAGUCCUGUACCGCAGCAGCAUCGCUCCUGAGGAGACAGAACGUGGAUGAGCUACCCUGAUUUGUCACUCUGUGCAAGGCAGGAGCGGAGCUGUCUCAUUUGUCAGGGGACACUAAGGUGUCUCCUCAGCGAGUCCUUGCAGUGCCACUGGCCAAUCCAGCCACUUGGAAUCCCAUCGUUACAAUUGCUUGUUUCCUUCCCGGAUGUAGGAGAAAUGAUAGAAUUAGGCAGUGAAUCGGGCUUACUAACAAAAGCCUUCAGAUUGUGUAAAAGUGUUGGUAUAUAUUCACACACGUUAGCUCAUUUAAUCCACUUCAAAGGAGAUUGGAGCGGACGUUGGUUCCUUGCAGGGUCUGUGUUGUCAGAGCUUAGCAGAGAUUCUCAUCAGUUCAGUUAUUGUGUGAGCACUUCAGUGAGAAAGAGUGCGUGGCUGCAUGCAUGCUGCAUACCCAGGUUCACCUGGGUCAUUGCUGUCUGCAGUUCAAGUCCUGGUUCUGUCGUGUGUUACAUGACAUUUUGGGUAAUUCAUCUAACUUCUCAUCUCAGGUGUCUUUCAUAGCUGGAAAAAGUAAUGCCUUACUCAGGAUUUGAAUCAAGGGUUAGGAGGAAGUUUUGUUCAGAUAGGUGCCAUGUAAUAUUAUGAACAUGUAAAUAGAAGGCAAACACCUGAACUCAGAAGGGGCUUUGAAAGGAGAUGCCUUCUGGGCCGGACCCCGGUGGCAGGGCGUGACUGGAGUAGGAAAGGGAGCUCCAGGCAAAAGCAGCAGAGUGCUGAGAACGGUGCAGGGAGGGCUGCAGGGAAAAUCCACGGGAGGGAGGCUGAGUGUGCAGGGAAACUGAGGCUCUGAAUCUUUCUCAGUUUCCUGCUGCUGUUUCAGACAGAUGUUGCACAAUUUUGCAGAAACGCUAUUUCCUCUUCAGUUCAUUAGUUUUAUAGAACCUCUUGCAAAUUCCCAACCUGUUGGGCAGGAUUCUUUAUGUUUUAUUGUUGUACAGUUGGUACUUAUGUUUGGAUACUUGAAUGUAUAGAAGAAAUAUGUUAACUAAGUAAGCUACAGGCAGUGUAUUCAGAUGGCUCCCAACACAGAAUGAUCUGACUUUUACUUUUUAAACUUUGCAGUGGUGUGAAAGGGGUAUGUUGUCAGUAGAAACUGUGUUAACACUUGGACUAGCUUUGGAGGCCAGGUUCUCAUUCACAGUGCCAAGCAGUAGUCAUGAGCCACGCUGCAGUCACCAGGCAGGAAGGACAGGGUCGCCAAGCUAGGAUGUCACUGUGGAGCUGUAUUGAUUUUCGACUUGCAGUAUUUUGGCUUACAAAAUUAUCUUUGGCUUAGAAAAAUUUCCACCUACCAUAGGUUUAUUUGGGGCACAACUACAUCAUAAGUUGAGGGAGAUCUGUGGUUGGAUCUUGAUUCAAGAAAUAUUGGGACAGUCGCUGUCUUUUUAAUUGAAGUAUUUUGACCAUUUACAUUUACUGGGAAUAUUGGUUUGGAUUGGUUUCAGUAUCUUGACAUUUAUUUUCUGUUUGUGAUGUAUGAUUAAUCCACUCUCCCUCUUUUAUUGCCUUCACAAUCAAUUAUAGUUUUUAUGAUUCUGUUUUAUUUCUUUUGGUAUGUUAAUGAUGCAUUUUCAGUUGCUUUGGAGUUUGUAAGAUACAGCAUUAAUAUGUCUAUACAGAAUAUUGUGCCACUUCAAGCUUAUUUUUCAAGAGUACAAUGGUACAUUUCCUUUCCCAUCAUUUGUAUUCUUGUUUUCAUAUUUUACUUCUGUGAGUACACGUUAGAAACUAUAAUAUACAUUGAUAGUAUUCUUCCUUGAAAAAAAGAGUCAUAUUUUAAGAGAAUUUUCAAAGAGGGGAAAUAUGUCUGCAUUACAGUAAAAAUUUCCUUUUUGCAUUUUUUCAUGCCUCUGUGAGAUCCAGAAUUCUGUAUGACAUCACAUCUCUGCCUGUAGGAUUUUCUGUAGACUUUACUUAGGUGUAGGACUGCUCAUGAUGACUGCUCCUGCAGGGUGCUUACAGAAGCUACGUUUGGUUUUCAUUAUUGACACAUAUUUCUGCUCUGCACAGCAUUCUUGGACAACACACUGUUUCUCUGUACCUUGCAAAUGUGGUUGCCCUGUCUCCUGGUUUUGUUUCUUACAGGGCCCUACAACCACUUGCAUCUCUUUUCCUUAUAGGAGAUAUAUCUUUUUCUUUUUUUCAUCAGAGUGCUAGGAUCAUCACUUAAUCACUGACUCCCAGAAAUUUGAUUGAUGUAGCAGUCUUAUGUAUUUGAGCUUGAGUUUUUUUUUUUAAUUUUUGUGGUUUAUUUGUACUUAACAUCAUUAAAGAGAAGCACGUCCAUGACAUUCUGUUUAUUCAGUAUCAUUUUGCAUUCUUCUUUGUUUCAUUAUAAAAUGUGUGUGUGUAUGUGUGUACAUGUAUGUGUGUGUGUGUGUGUGUACACAUCAGUGUUGAUGCUUUUGCCAAAGGUUCAAGCUCUUACUUGAACCCCUGCUGUUUGUGACCCCAUUCCCAGCACUCAGGGAGUCCACCAGGUUCUGCUGUGGUUCCCACAUCAUCUACUCACUGGAAAGAAUCUCUGCAGUGAGGCUCUGUGACAGCAGUGCUUACUGCACUGGAAACACAGACACCUGGGACUGUAGGAGUCAGUGCACUGGAAGCACUGUGUACAGUGAGUGCUGUGACUGUAGGACUCAGGACCCUGGGAGCACUGUGUACAGUGAGUGCUGUGACUGCGGACUCUGUACUAGGAGUACUGUGUACAGUGAGUGCUGUGACUGUGGACUCAGUGUACUGGGAAUACUGUGUACAGGGAGUGCUGUGACUGUGGGACUCAGUGCACUGGGUGCGCUGUCCUCAGUGAGUGCUGGGACUGUAGGACUCAGUGCACUGGGGUACUGUGUACAGUGACUGCUGUGGCCGUACUAAUCACUACACUGGGAACACUAUGCAUAGUGAGUGCUGUGACGUGAACUCAGUGCACUGGGGGUUCUGUGUACAGGGAGUGCUGUGAUGGUAGGACUCAGUGCAUUGGGAGUACUGUGCACAGUGAGUGCUGUGACUGUGGGACUCAGUGCCCUGGGAGCACUGUGCACAGUGAGUGCUGUGACUAUGGGACUCAGUGUCCUGGGAGUACUGUGUACAGUGAAUACUAUGACUGUGGGACUCAGUGCACUGGGAGUACUGUGUACAGUGAGUGCUGUGACUGUAGGACUCAGUGCACUGGGAGUACUGUGUACAGUGAGUGCUGUGACUAUGGGACUCAGUGCCCUGGGAAUACUGUGCACAGUGAGUGCUGUGACUGUGGACUCAGUGCACUCGGAGAAUGGCGCACAGUGAGUGCUGUGACUGUGGGACUAAGUGCACUGGGAGCACUGUGUACAGUGAGUGCUGUGACUAUGGGACUCAGUGCCCUGGGAGCACUGUGCACAGUGAGUGCUGUGACUAUGGGACUCAGUGCCCUGGGAGUACUGUGCACAGUGAGUGCUGUGACUGUGAGACUCAGUGUCCUGGGAGUACUGUGUACAGUGAGUACUAUGUGGGACUCAGUGCCCUGGGAGCACUGUGCACAGUGAGUGCUGUGACUGUGAGACUCAGUGUUCUGGGAGUACUGUGUACAGUGAGUGCUGUGACUGGGACUCAGUGCACUGGGAGUACUGUGCACAGUGAGUGCUGUGACUGUGGACUCAGUGCCCUGGGAGUACUGUCCUCAGUGCUGUGACCUUAAUACUUGCUACCGUGGGAACAUACAGUGAACUGCUUUGCCUGUGGUCUCAAGUUUGCACAGACCAUUUAUUAAGAUAGACAGUAUCCUCCCUGAGGGACAAGAAUCAAUGUGUUUUAUUUUAUCCUGUCACACACAGCGGUCUUAAAACAGUAUUGAGUUAAAAGAUAAGCCAAUACCUUCAAAUAUCUGUAAACUGAGGAACUAAUUUCCAUAAAUAGGAAUCAAGCAAACCCAAAGGAAGUUAGAAUUUGUGAUUUGAAUGAAAAGGAAAAAGCUGCCUUUCAAAAUUAGUGGAAUACAAAUAAAGCAGUGUUCUAAACUCCUAUGUUAAGUAGUAAAGUCAGUUUCACACGGAUGACCCCACUGUCCACCUCACACAGCUGCAGUAGGCAGAGCAAAGUAUAGCCUCAGCAGCAGAUGAAGGUGACAGUGUGGUCAGAGCUUAGAGAAGAAAACGGAGUAAGAUCACCAAGACGAACGCUUGGGCCUCGCCAGUGCUGAUUCUGUUUAAUGAGGGAAUAUCAUUUAAUAGCAUCAGAAACAUGGAAUGAUGAAUGAUUUGACAGCAUGGACGGAUCUGGACAGUGAGCGCUCAAGCCACUGUUAGAGAACACAGAUGAGGUCUGCACGGAUGUGCAUGAUCGGAGGAACGCACAUGGCCAGAAUUUCCGGUCUCCUAGAUCUGCCUUGGCGUUGAUGAAACUCUUCUGAAUCCCCAACUGGAUUUUUAAAAGUAUUUAUUUAUUCAUUUUUAAGUUUCACAGUUUCAACAUUUUGCUAUAUUUGCACCAUAGGUAAAUGCUAUAUACCUGUAUGUUCUCAUACUGUAUGUUCUCAAAGUUGAGCUGUUAAUAUCACAUAACGUGGAAUUCAUGAUGAGGGUCCUAAGGUGAGGACAGAAAGUUAGUUUAUUGUGUAGAGGGUGUAAUUCAGAGAAGUCAACAUUAUGACUACCUGUAUACCACUUAGUAGGACAUCUGCCCACUUUUAUAUUCUGUGUAUUAACUUCCACGUACGAGAAAAUAACGUGGACUUUGUCUUGCUGUAUCUGGAUUAUUUCACUUAGCAUAAUGAUACGCAGUUUCAUUUGUUUGGUUGUAGAUGUCAGGAUGCCGUUUUUAUGACUAAUACAUUUGUAUAUAUACAGGAAAUGUAUAAAUAUGCAUAUAUAUACACAUCUAUAUAGCUCAGUCAUAACAAUGAAAAUGACUAUAAUCACGUUUUCCUUUAUCUAGCCAUCAGUUUAUGGACAUCUAGGUGAUUGCAUGUUUCGGCUGUUGUGAACUGGGCUCCAAGAAACAUGGCAGUGCAGCUGUCUCUCAUAGGCUGACUUCACGUCCUUUGGAUGUUGUCCCAGAAGUGGGUUAGCUGGGUCCCAUCAUAAAUCUGUUUAUAGCCUUUUAAAGGAAUCUCCUAGAUUGGUUGUAAAAAUUAUAAAAGUAUUCUAAACUUUACAUGGAAUUGGAAAGGCUGACAAAACUUGAGAAACAAAACAGAGUUGAAAACCUUAGAGGAGUGGAUUUUAAGGCUCAUUAAAAUGACAGAGAGCUGGGCAGUGGUGCAGUAAAAUGAUGAGCAGGUAAAGAAACAGAAUGGGUUCAGGAAGCCACAGAGCCGUGCCCAUGGGCUGCUUGAUUCUGAUCACCACACUAAGGGACGUCAGUGGGGCAGUGAUCAUCGUCUCAGCUAAGUGCUGAACAACCGGGUAGCUGUUUGCCACCAGGCACUCAGCCAUGCCCAGAACUCAGUCCACGUCGUGUGCAGAGUAAAACCACACCACCCAGAACAGGACGGAGGCGUCAGCUCUGUGUGUGCCAGCUCACAGAGCGUGAGUAGAAGAAAUGUCAGAGAAAUUUCGUAUUGAUUGGGUUUGGCAAAGACCUCUUAAACAUGAUACCAGCAGAACAAAGUGAAGACAGUAAUGUGUUUGACUUCAUUAUGUUUUUCUUUUUAAGAUUAAGUUAAUUUAUUUGAAAGAGUAGGCCGGCAUCACGGCUCACUUGGCUAAUCCUCUGCCUGUGGUGCCAGCACCCCAGGUUCUAGUCACAUUUGGGGUGCUGGAUUCUGUCCCGGUUGCUCCUCUUCCAGUAAAGCUCUCUGCUGUGGCCGCAUGGGAGACCAGGAGGAAGCACCUGGCUCCUGGCUUCAGAUCGGCGCAGUGCGCUGGCUGCGGCACGCUGGCUGUAGCGGCCAUUUGGGGGUGAACCAAUGGAAAAGGAAGACCUUUCUCUCUGUCUCUCUCUGUCUCUCUCUCUCUCUCUCUCUCUCACUGUCUAAAUCUGCCUGUCCAAAAAGAAAAAGAAAAAAAAAGACUUGCAGAGAGAGCUUGAGACAGAGAGAGAGGUCUUUCAUCUGCUGUUUCACUCCCCAGAUGGCUGCAGUGACUGGAGCUGUGCGGAUCCAAAGCCAGGAGCUUCCUCUGGGUCUCCCACGUGGGUGCAGGGUCCAAGGACUUGGGCAUCUUCCACUGCCUUCCCAGGCCAUAGCAGAGAGCUGGAUCAGAAGAGGAGCAGCUGGGACUAGAACCAGCGUCCAUAUGGGAUGCCUUCCUAGGCCAUAGCAGAGAGCUGGAUCAGAAGAGGAGCAGCUGGGACUAGAACCAGCGUCCAUAUGGGAUGCCAGUGCAGCUCUUCAGGCCAGGGGCUUAACCCGCUGCGCCACAGCACAGGCCCCUUCAUUAUGUUGUUAAAACCUUUUUGGUAAACAUACUGCUAGAAAAAUGAAAAGACAAGCUGUGGUCUGCUAGCAAACAGACUCGUAAGUGUAGCACAUCAAGGACUUCUAUCAGCAGAGAAUAGAAAGAGAAACAGUAGAAACUACACUAAGAAGAGAUGCAGAUGACAAACAGUACAUUAAACCUUUCCCAGCGUCACUUGUCAUGAGGCAGAUACAGCUGAAACCGCGGAAACCUGCGUUUUGCCACCUAAGCAGACCACAGCAAGUGCUGACGAAGACGGGGAAGAAUUGGGAGUCUCGGACAGUGCUGUUGGGCAUUUAAACGGGUCUCACUGUUUGGAAAGUGACUUGACAGGGACUCAGACCUUGAAUGAUAUUUAUGCCAAAUGACACAGACAUUCUGCUACUUCUUGCCCCGCAGAAUGAAGCACAUGUCCAUACAGAGACCUGCAGAUGCAUGUCACAGCAGCCUCACAGGAGCCCCUCUGUCCAUCCACGGAGCCUGGAUUUGAGCCCUGGCGACUGCAGCUGCUGACAGGAGGCCUUCCAUCCAGUCCCCCCUUCCCUCCGAGGACUCACCUGAGCGCCGUGAGCAGGACGGUCCUAUGAAGUGUUAUGGAGGAAGGCGUGUGAUGCUCACUCACGGAUGAAGAACUGAAGUGCAGAACAAAUACGGAUCUUGCUUAAGGUGACUGAGUAAGGGUUUGCUGUUCCAGUGGCCGUUCUACCAUACAAAACGUCGUCUGAAUACACUACACGACACACGACGGAGAGUCGGGACUCCGGCGAUAGCGUUCCAGGAAACCUCCACUUCAGAAGCCGAAAAGCUCUGGACAGAAGUUCCCCGAGGGGCCAGCUGAGGUUCUGCCUCCAGAGAAAGACAUGGCCGUCUUCAGCACACAAAGGCACAGAGACAGAAACCCAGCCCCGAGC